UAUAUAUUCGACUGCUCUUUGAGCAAUACAUUUAGUUUCCUUUUUUUUUUGAGGGAAUACAUUUAUUUUUCUUGGUAUAGUUAUUUAGUCUAGGAAUUUGAGUAACAAAUAUAGAAAAAAAUCAAACCAACUAAGUAUCAAUGUUCGUAGUUAAUUGAGCCUAUACUAGUAUAAUUUCAUAAGAACUCAUCUUUGUCAACCAUUGCAGAGCUAGUCCCAGUGGGCACAUAUAUUAGAUUCCCCACAAUCCAAGACGCAUGACUACAAAAAUGAAUGGACAAUCGAGGCUGACGAUCGCCAGCAACUAUGUUAGAUUCCUUCCCAUCUUACGUUUUCUUUCUCUACUUGGCUCUCGCUGGUGAGGCUGAGAACCAACAAGGAAAACCACAUAAUUAUAUUGAUGUGAUGGCACAAUGCACGGAGGUCGAUCUGGAGGGAACGGCCGAGACUGGCGCAGCACUUUUUCUCCCAUCCAUGCCCAAUUUUGUGGACAUCUCCCAAGCCUAUCCAUGUAUCUACUGCACUUGCUGAAUACAGCUUCUGACUGAACAAUGAAGACCAUAUAAAUAUAUAGCUUCGAAUUUGAGUAAACGAAAUUAUGCAGCUCAUUACUAAAGACCAAGCGCACCUGCAACCAGCACAUAGAUGACCUAAUAACAGUAACUGAGACCAAAUUCUAGUUUGACAGUCUCAAAAGCCCACGAUCACAAAAUUAAUUUCGUAACUUUUCUCACCUCUUGUCAUAUUAUCUAUCGACCAGCAAGCAAGUGGGGAACUGUCCGCGAAAUCCCCACGGCUUACAUUUGAAGAUGUCCAAAUUGUCCAAGCUCAUAGACGCCUGCUUCUUAUUGGCCUUGGAGUACUCCGUGAGCUAGCACCAGAUGAGCAUGUAGACCAUGUCAUGAUUCAACAAGUGGUGGCGCACUGUGUUUCCAAGGUGGCAAGAGCCAUCGCUGCUGAGCAGCGUGUGUGGCACGCUAUGUUCCUGGGACAAGCUCGUAAUCGGUGUGGCAUGCCGAGGGCGCGAGUGAGCAUGCACACGACAUGCACAGGAGAGCGGUGAAAGGACAAACGGCCUGUCUCAUCUUCGAUGCCAUCCCAUGGUGGGCUUCAAAAAGCAAGUGCUAAGAAAUUAUAUAUAGUCUCUCUGCCCCAUCGCG
rnacentral:lncRNA from 1 species